rnacentral:rRNA from 1 species
UACGUAGGGUGCGAGCGUUGUCCGGAAUUAUUGGGCGUAAAGAGCUCGUAGGCGGCUUGUCGCGUCGGCUGUGAAAACCUGGGGCUCAACCCCGGGCCUGCAGCCGAUACGGGCAAGCUAGAAUUCGGUAGGGGAGACUGGAAUUUACGGUGUAGCGGUGAAAUGCGUAGAUAUCGUAAGGAAGACCAGUGGCGAAGGCGGGUCUCUGGACAGUUCCUGACGCUGAGGCACGAAGGCCAGGGGAGCAAACGGG